rnacentral:rRNA from 1 species
GGGGAAUCUUGCGCAAUGCGCGCAAGCCUGAUCCAGCAACGCCGCGUGGAGGACGAAGGUCUUCGGAUCGUAAACUCCUGUCAGGCGGGACGAAGGCUUCCGGGCAAAUAGUCUGGAAGCUUGACGGUACUGCCAGAGGAAGCCCCGGCUAACUCCGUGCCAGCAGCCGCGGUAAUACGGAGGGGGCUAGCGUUAUUCGGAUUUACUGGGCGUAAAGGGCGCGUAGGCGGCAUGACAAGUCACUUGUGAAAUCUCCGGGCUUAACUCGGAACGGCCAAGUGAUACUGUUGAGCUAGAGUGCAGAAGGGGCAAUCGGAAUUCUUGGUGUAGCGGUGAAAUGCGUAGAUAUCAAGAGGAACACCUGAGGUGAAGACGGGUUGCUGGGCUGACACUGACGCUGAGGCGCGAAAGCUAGGGUAGCAAA